UCCUUUGCAGCUCGUAGGAAGCCAGUGA
rnacentral:piRNA from 1 species